rnacentral:rRNA from 1 species
AGUGAACGCUGGCGGUAGGCCUAACACAUGCAAGUCGAACGGCAGCACAGUAAGAGCUUGCUCUUACGGGUGGCGAGUGGCGGACGGGUGAGGAAUACAUCGGAAUCUACUUUUUCGUGGGGGAUAACGUAGGGAAACUUACGCUAAUACCGCAUACGACCUACGGGUGAAAGCAGGGGAUCUUCGGACCUUGCGCGAUUGAAUGAGCCGAUGUCGGAUUAGCUAGUUGGCGGGGUAAAGGCCCACCAAGGCGACGAUCCGUAGCCGGUCUGAGAGGAUGAUCAGCGACACUGGAACUGAGACACGGUCCAGACUCCUACGGGAGGCAGCAGUGGGGAAUAUUGGGCAAUGGGGGGAAGCCUGAUCCAGCCAUACCGCGUGGGUGAAGAAGGCCUUCGGGUUGUAAAGCCCUUUUGUUGGGAAAGAAAAGCAGCAGGUUAAUACCCCGCUGUUCUGACGGUACCCAAAGAAUAAGCACCGGCUAACUUCGUG